GCCUGGCUGGCUCAGUCAGUAGAGCAUGAGACUUCUGAUCUCAGGGUUGUGAGUUCAAGCCCCAUGUUGGGUC